rnacentral:snRNA from 1 species
AUUUCUCUUUCCAGUAUCUGUUCUUAUCAGCUUAAUAUCUGAUAUGGGCCUAAUUGGUCCAAGAUAUUAAAGUUAUUUUUGCAAUGCGGCGUAGUGCUUGAAGUUUGCUUCGAGGACUCCAGGG